GAUGAACGCUAGCGGCAGGCUUAAUACAUGCAAGUCGAGGGGUAACAGGGGUAGCAAUACCUGCUGACGACCGGCAAACGGGUGCGGAACACGUACGCAACCUUCCCAAAACUGGUGAAUAGCCCUCCGAAAGGAGGAUUAAUACACCGUAACAUAUAGAAGUGGCAUCACUUUUAUAUUAUAACUCCGGUGGUUUUGGAUGGGCGUGCGGCUGAUUAGGUAGUUGGCGGGGUAACGGCCCACCAAGCCUGCGAUCAGUAACUGGUGUGAGAGCACGACCAGUCACACGGGCACUGAGACACGGGCCCGACUCCUACGGGAGGCAGCAGUAAGGAAUAUUGGUCAAUGGACGAAAGUCUGAACCAGCCAUGCCGCGUGAAGGAUGAAGGUCCUCUGGAUUGUAAACCUCUUUUGCAUGGGACGAAAAAACUUAAUUUAUUAAGGACUGACGGUACCAUGAGAAUAAGCACCGGCUAACUCCGUGCCAGCAGCCGCGGUAAAUGA
rnacentral:rRNA from 1 species